rnacentral:ncRNA from 2 species
UCUUUAUCCAGAGCAGACUGAGGGACCAGGCCCAAUGAAGCUGCGGCAACCCGGCGGAAGCCUCCGCUACGGUGCCAAUUCCUGCGGUUAGUCAGUAACCGAAAGAUAAAGG